GGCCAGUUGGCUCAGUCAGUUGAGUGUGGUGCUAACAACACUAAGGUCGCGGGUUCGAUUCCCGUUUGAUCC
rnacentral:tRNA from 1 species